rnacentral:lncRNA from 1 species
AUAACAUGAAAAUGAUUUUGCUGAGAGCAACACUGACAGCAGCCAUUCUGCUUUUCGCUGCGAGUUCCACCAGCUGCCUGAAGGUGCAGUUCCCAGGCCUGCAUACAGACGUAGAAGCUUGUUUACAGCGUAGCUGCGCCAGGAAUAUCGACGUCUGUGGGGAGACACAUGGGCAGGCUCUCACAAACAAGCUGAAAGGUUGCAUUGUGCAGAAGUGUCAGACCAUGGCCAAGCGCUGUAUAAGGGACGUUUUUAAUACCUUUGCUACUUUCAUAGAUGGGCCAUACAGCUCAGAGAUUAAAACCAUUGGAGAGAUUCUUGUGGAAUACUUUGUCCAGUACUACAUGGAGUGCUGGCAAACAAUGAACGCUGAAGAUCUCAAAGAAACAGCAGUGUGUGUGGCCAACAAGCAGAUCGAUAAAGUACAACCGGUCCUCACUCAUUUUGCCAGGAUGAUUUUCAAAAACCCAGAAUAUAUGUCCUGCUGGCUUACAAAGUCUAUGAAAGGCAUCGUGAUGUGCUAUGACCACCAUUAUGACACCAAGGACCUCAUGCAAUCAAAAAUGUUUACUGAAAGUCGGACGAAGACGAACUUAGCAGGUUACCUGUCCUGUCUUAGAAAAGGCUUCUUGAACGCAGGACCGGAGUGUCAGGAAAUGUUUGAGGCCAUGCUUGCUGUCAAAAAAGGAAAAUCCUUGGAUUAUUUCCUGUGCUCACUCCAGGAAGUGAUCGUCGCCACAGCUAAAUGCUGAUAUGUGCUCUGCUGCAGGCUGCCCUGUUCAUGCCUUGUAUUUAAUUCACUUAUAUGUUAUUUUCUGUAAUUAACUUUCAAAUGAAAUCUACUCCAUGCUAAAACAUUGAAUUAAAUGCCAUCGAUUGCUACUUAAAUAACUUAAGACUAAACUGUACAAGUGAAUUAGAAUUAAUGUUUUGUUCUUACUGCACUGAUAUUUUACAUUGAGUUUAAUGUAAUAAAACACUUUCA